rnacentral:rRNA from 1 species
GAUGAACGCUGGCGGCGUGCCUAAUACAUGCAAGUCGAGCGAAUGGAUUAAGAGCUUGCUCUUAUGAAGUUAGCGGCGGACGGGUGAGUAACACGUGGGUAACCUGCCCAUAAGACUGGGAUAACUCCGGGAAACCGGGGCUAAUACCGGAUAACAUUUUGAACCGCAUGGUUCGAAAUUGAAAGGCGGCUUCGGCUGUCACUUAUGGAUGGACCCGCGUCGCAUUAGCUAGUUGGUGAGGUAACGGCUCACCAAGGCAACGAUGCGUAGCCGACCUGAGAGGGUGAUCGGCCACACUGGGACUGAGACACGGCCCAGACUCCUACGGGAGGCAGCAGUAGGGAAUCUUCCGCAAUGGACGAAAGUCUGACGGAGUAAUGCCGCGUGAGUGAUGAAGGCUUUCGGGUCGUAAAACUCUGUUGUUAGGGAAGAACAAGUGCUAGUUGAAUAAGCUGGCACCUUGACGGUACCUAACCAGAAAGCCACGGCUAACUACGUGCCAGCAGCCGCAGUAA